UUUUUUAUGCUUUUGUUAAGCUUCUCACGCUUUACUGCCACUGCCGGGGACUCCUCCAACAUCCUCUCAAUUCCCCCACCGUAAGGUCCCAACAACUCAUUCACAAUCUCAGCUUCCAUCUCUUUGUUCACAAGGUUGAAAACAGACAGCUGCAAGUGCAAUGCCAUGCAGUCCACAAGCCUCCUCAAAACAACCUUCCAAUAAGCAAUCAUUCUCAUUUUAAGGUCAUAAGCUUGAGCUAACACAUGCGGGUACUUCCUCAGAACACCGACUUCCACUUCCCCGAUGCCUUCUAUAUCUAUGAUAGAAGGCUUCUUCUCAUCAGUUAAGACUCCAUGAAUGAAUUCGUUUUGACUAGCCAUCAGCUUGUUCCAUUCGGAAACAUAAUCACCAUCACAUGUAUAAUCUGUCAGCUUUUCCAUCUCUACAAGCUCCAGCAUCCACUUGAUUGACCUCUCCUUCAUCUUGGCCAUUAGACUAUGGCCGGCACGCCUUGCUGACAGCUGCAGCUGAUGAUAGUUAUCCGUAUAAUGCAUCAACACAGAAAUAACCACCUCUUCAAUGUAGUUCCACACUUUUUCCUCAAAUGCAAUCGGAAUACUCGAAAUUUCAUUCACUUUUGCCUGCAAGAUAAUGAGGAAAGCAUUGCGUGGAAGGAAGUUCGGAAGUGAAAUACCUUUGGCCUCCUCCAAGAUCCUGAUCUCCUCCAUCAAGAAGUUGCUCUUUGCAUCAGUUUCAGCACAUCUGUGAAGUUCAUCCGAGUACUGGUUGAGCAUCUCAACCAAUCUAGCAGUGCAGUGCAUGCGAUUGUCUUCCGCGUACUCCUGAAAUUCUCCUCUCAAAAGAAUCUUCCUAAGCGAUUCCUUAGCCAAGCCAGUGAUUUGCAUAAAAGCCGUCAUGGCCUCAGCAACCGAUGAAAGACUCUUUGGCAUUUUGUUCAGCUCCAUAAUGCAGAAGUUCAGCCUGUCAUUGAUCUUCUUCACUAUCUCAGGUAUAUUUCUUGCUAUGCUGUUUGCUUGAAUUUGGACCAGCUUCUGUGCUAAAACUGGAAUGCCGACAAUGGACUUGUCAAUCUUCGAAAGCAGAGGAUGGGUUUGAAAUAGUUCAUGAGCCAUCACCGCUGCCUCCUCAUCAGUUUCGUCACCAAUCCUGUUCCUUACACAGACAUAACCAAGACCAAUGUUUACAUCAUCUCCAGUGACCUUCUCAAGUAGUCCUUCCGGUGCCUUGUCCACUUUCGUAACCACAGCGAGCGUCCUCUCACCAGUUUUAUCUACACUUUGUGACAUCCGGAUUGACUCACACGUAGUAAAAUCCACCGUAGCAGACAAUACAUUCAGAAUAAUACUUUCCUCCGGCUUAAUAUACUCCAUGAUCAUAUCUUUGAUCUGAUCAUAGAUAUUUUCAGGUUGGCCAUGGACUGGAACCCUUGUGAUUCCCGGAAGAUCAACCAUAGUCAGAUCCGGAACCCCAUACUUCUUCACCAACAAAGUAAGUGGCGUGUUUGAAAUUCCCUUACCUCCCCCCGCAAUAGAAUUAGUAGCUUUCACAAUAUCUUUGGUGAUAUUUUCUUCAUCAGUACGAUCAACUCUGCCAUUGUACUCCAAGGAAAGUUCAGGCUGAGGACUCGAGUGGUGUUCGAGCCUCAUAAUAAGAGGCACUCUCGUGCAGAUGCCUUGGCCCCGAGGUAGGCUGAUGCCGGCCAAGGAUUCGAGCACGCUAGACUUCCCGGAUGACUGGUCUCCGACCACCACAAUCGUUGGCAGCUGAAUGCCUUCAUCCAUCACCUUCAAGCUGCGUAACUUGUCUACCGCAUCCAGAAGAGGGCGGAUCUUGUCGUUAUAGGACGACACAAUGGGUGCGCAUUUGAGGGGUACUGCGUCUAGUCCUGCCUGAACCAUUGCGAGGGAGCCUUCACCGUUUAUAACUGUGCGACUCGAUUCCAUUUUCCUUGGUCCUUGCGUUUCUGAAUUAUAGCAAGUCAAAACAAUGGUGAAAAAUCUAGAGGGAAACCGAGAUUGUAGAGAGAUGAGAGAGAAUUCGAAGAUGGAAAAUGUUCUGUAUUGGGUUUAUGACUUAAUGGAGUAAAAUGUUCUAUUUAUAGCUACUGCUAUAUAUCAUUCUUAGCCCUUAAGCAACUUAACUGACUCUCAAUCAACAAUAGCAACACAUCUAACAAAAAUGCUACUUUUCCGAUAUAUUUGUACCAUCAUUUGCUUACAUUGAUAAAUCGGACUCAUACUCAUAAGCUGACAUGGCAGCCACAUGACUUAAAAGUAAGAAGAUUACUUGUCAGCGAAGAUAUCAGUCAGGAAGAAGUGAGAAAGCUGGGUUUAGUAAGUGCCUUAGGCUUAAAGGCUCCUAGUUGUAUGUAUAAUUGUUCAGCAAAACCUAUCGAAGUAAAUGACAACCAGCCUUUUCAAAACCGCAUGCUGAGAGAGUUGUGAUUUGGACUUCCAAACGUUCAGCAAACCAAACCGCUUGCGAGCCUUUGAACUUCUAAACCCUAAUCAGUGUAAAUGUAAUAUGGACAGUUAACUGAUAACCAUUUUUUGUGCUUGAUGCUCUUGAACUUCAGUCAACCUUUAUAUAUUAUUCAUUCAAAUAAUCGAUGACUAGCUAGCCAAUGUAAGUUGUAACCCAACAGAGACGAGAUGUUGAAGAAAAUUAAAUAUUUUUUGUAAUUUGGUAAGACAAACAAAGGCACCCAUUGGAGAAAGGGAAGUGCUAGCAGCCUUUGCCCUAACAUUUGUGUUUGGACCUCUUCACUUUAACAACUAACAGGUAUCAUUUUCUAUACAAAAAAGCAAGAAUUUUAAAGCUUUUGUCUAGGAAUUAACGAUGAGAAAUAUAAAAUAUACAUUAUUAUGUCAUUCAUUAAAAUGAAAAUUUUCAAAUGCAAAAGUUAGUGCAAAAGUGUAUUUCUCUUAGAAAAAUUCAAUCUAACAACCAAAAUUAAAGUUAACAAAAAAAAGUAGAGAACUUAAUUCAUAUUGAAUCUACCCUUAUGAUCGUGCUCCAGAAAAAUUGAGAAGGAUGCAGGGUUUUUGAAUUUGGUAAAGCUUAAGGAUUAAGGUUGCUGUUUUUUUUUUUUUUUUUUUUUUUUUUUUUUUUUUUUGGAGAAAAGUGGAAGAGAAAGAGCCUUUGAAGAUUCCUUUCUGAGUUUUCACAUUGUGGGGAUUUUGUUUCACUUUUACCAUUGUAAGACCAUAGAUAAUGGAUGCUGACAUGGUUGGACAGAUGUCGAAUAGUGGUGUGGUAUGCCCAAUCGGUUUAGGUUGCUGAAAAUAGCAACUUUAACUAAAAAUAGUGCAGGACUUUAAAAGAGGAAGGGGAAAUAAGAGUUUGAGGAAAAAGAGGCAACUUUAAUUCAUCAUUUCAUAGGUUCUUUACGCUCUCCAUUAUUACAUAUUUAUGCUCCUCAUAAAAGAGAAAAUAGAGUUUUAACGAAAAGCCCGCGGUACUGUUCACUUUAAUGAAAAACCACAUUUUUACACUAAAAAGUCAAAUCUGGUACUAUUCAUAUUACUCUUUAUUUUGUUCUUAUCGUUAAAAUUCAAAGUUUUAAAGCAUUUUUCAUUAGUUUUCCUAAGAGAACAACCCUAGCUACUUGGACAUAAAAAAAAAGGCUAGUACGGGCAAGUUGCAAGAGGAGAAGUAGUGGGCUCAAGUAAAUGGGCUUAAUAACUCCCCCCUCUCCUUGAGAAUAGGCCUGACCUUAGGUCAAGAAAUCGAGGUAACGGGCCAAGAUGUCGUCAGCUUCCUCCCAGGUGACAUCUUCAGUGGGUAGGCCAACCCACUUGAUCAACCAUUUUGUCGCAGCUUUAUUUUUUUUUCUUGAAUAUGCCCUUGUCUAAAACUCUUUCUGGUUGCCAGUGUAGAACCCCAGUGGAGUCGAUAGGAGGCAAAACUGACAGUGGAGGAGAAAUACUACCAAUCUUUUGUUUAAGGAGAGACACAUGAAAGACGGGGUGGAUUUUGGAGUCUAAAGGCAAACGAAGCUGAUAUGCUACGAAACUGAUGCGCUUAGUUAUCUGAAAAGGUCCAUAGAACUUGGGUGCCAGCUUGUUUGUUGUUCUAGUAGCCACUGAUUGUUAGCGGUAUGGUUAAAGCUUCAGGUAAACCCAGUCACCAACAUUAAAUUCCCGCUCAGUUCUCUUGUUAUCAUAGACUUGUCUCAUUUUGUUCUCUGCAAGCUGCAAAUUUGUUCUCAUAAGACAGAUUAAUUUGUCCUUAUCCUGUAUUGCAGCAUCAAUUGAGUGUACCGUCGUGGAGCCGAGCAUAUACAUGCAAAGGUGGUUCAAUGUCAUAAACAGCCUGAUAUAGAGACAUUUUGAUGGAAGAUUGGAAGCUUGUAUUAUACCACCAUCUAGCCCAGGGAAUGAGAGAAGACCAAUUGGUGGGUUUGUCUAUUGAGAAACAUCGAAGAAAAUGUUCCAAUGUGCAGUUAAGGACUUUCAUUUGCCUAUUCGUUUGAGGGUGGUAACCUAAACUUAGGCAAAGUUUGUUGCCUUGGAGUUUAAAGAACUCUUGCCAAAAGUUACUAAGAAAAUUGGGUCGCGAUCUGAAACGAUCUAUUUUGGCAUACCAUGGAGUCAGAAAACCUCAUUGCUGAAAGUAUCAGCUACAAAGGCAACUGUGUAUGGGUGCUUUAAUGGGAUAAAGUGGCCAUACUUUGAUAGGCGAUUGAUGACAACUAGGAUCACGGUGUACGCGUUGGAAAAUGGGAGCCCUUUGACAAAAUCAAGAGUGAUGUCCUGUCAUAUGCCAGUGGGGAUGAGCAAGGGAUGCAGUAACCUAGGAGGGUGUUUUGUAUGCAUUAAGCCACAAUUUUUUUUUGUUUCCUUUCGAAUUCCCGGCCAUAAAACUUUUUUGGAGAGUCUUUUGUAUGUUCAAAGGAAGCCCAAGUGACCAUCUUAGAGAGAUGCAUGGAAUUCAUCCAAGAGUUUAGGUUGCCAUUGGGAUGUGAGUAGUGGGACAAAGAUCUGUUGCUUGUAGUGCAACACAUCAUUUAUAAUUGAGAACCCUUUGAUUGAAGUGUUGGGUAUUGGAACUAAAAGAUUCCAAACCUUUUGCACUUCUAGAUCCUAUGCAUAAGACUGUUGCAACUGAGGAAUGCAAUCAAAUAUAGGGGUAGAGAGGCCUAUUAAGAGCAAAAGUUCUUGUUGGCAGGAGAUAGCAUAUGGAGCACUGUUUUGAGAACCCGACCUAUACUCGACCGAGUAGUUGUACCCCAACAAUUUCACCAGCCAUUUUUAAUUUUUUUCACAAAAACUGUAAGUUAUAACUCACGUUUUCCAAUCGAUUUUAAGAACUUUUACAAGAUUCAUUAUAAGCCAAAAUUUGAGUCGUUUUAGUCGCACCACAUGUUUUCUAAAAUUAAUUUAGGACAUCCCAAAUAUUUUUCAACACCUACAAAUUUCUUUGGUGGCUUCACUAUUAGUUUAUACUAUUUUUCUAACUCAUAGUAACAACGAAAAAAUUUCUCAGCAUGACCAAAAUGAUUGAUGGUGCAUCAGAGACUACUUUUAUCGAUUUCAAAUUUGAAGGACUAAAGUAAGGAGUUAUGCCAGAAAGUGGCCCUCUACCACAGUGGUGGAGAGGAGUAUUGGCCUUACACUACGACAGAGCUUCGAACCAUGACGGCUCCCUAAUCUAACAUCUAAUUAAAAAAUCUAUUGUUUGACGAAGAAAAAAAAGUAAGGAGUUAUGUCAAUUUCAAAAUCCGUUUUGGCCCCUUUUUAACAUGGAUGGAGGGUUUCAAAUUCCUUGUUACUACCUUUUAGGGGUUUUAUUAAAUUUUAUGAAUUUUUUUGUUGGUAUAUUUGAGCGUGUCUUUAAAAUGAUUAAAAUUGUUUUAAUAUAAUAAAAUAAAAAGUGUUUAUGACAACAUUUUGACCAAAAAAAGGACUUUAUGGAGAGGUCUAUGAGCAAAAUGCAACUCUUACUACCUAUUUGUACUAUAAUUUGUACCACUAAUAAAGAUGAGACUCACAUGCGUUGGCGAGCCUUACCUCUAUUAGAGAUAUAGUAGAAAUAUAUGGUAAAUGUAGCAUUACUCGUCUAUGAGUGUUUUCAACGGAGUACAAUUCUCUGUCAUCCUAUUCCUAGUGUGGUUUAGUCCAUACUAAGUGUAUGGAUUCUAACAAACGAUCAAUUAAAACAUGAAAUCUAAUAUGGACAUUUAAUUAAAUGUUUAUUAAUAUUUACGGUGCGGUUCGGUUUCGGUGUAGUUUUCAAAAGCCAAAACCGAAACCAAACCGUUUUCUAUGUUGCGGUUCGGUUUCAAAACCGAAACCGUUUCAAAACCGCAAAACCAAACCAUUCGGUGCGGUUUGAUUUGGUUCGUGUUUUGGUUUCGGUUUUCGGUUCUAAGUGCCAAUCCCUAGGAGAGCGUGUCCCUUUUUUUUGAAAAAUAUGGAUCAUUUCCCUUAAGCUCCUCCUACACACACACACACACACACACACACACACACACACACAUAUAUAUAUUAAAAUGAUAACCUUUCUUGGAUAGAACUGAGCAUAUAAACAUGCAAAGGUAAUGUUAGAGAGACCAAAGUUUUAAACAAAAUAAUGUGUUACCAAUAAAAAAUAAGCACGUUAAUCAACGCUAAAGUAAUAAUUCAAUUAUCAAUAAGCACAUCAUUUGGUUUGUAAAUUUGAUUUAAAAAAUUUGGUCUCCCUAACAUUAUCCAACCUGCAAACAAGUUUAAUUAUCUUAGACAAGCAACAUUAUUUACAUAUUUACUUUCAGGCAAUUACAAAUUUGACGUCGAAAAGAAGAUUUAAGGAAAAUGGUUUUCUUAUUAAUUAGGAUUUUUACAAUGCGUGUCGCAUUCUUUACCUAAAGUUUUUAUGUCUGUCAGAUUGGUUAUGAAAGCUCACUGUCAUAUUAAUAAACGGUAUUAUAAGCAGAAAACAUGAGACAAAAAAUAGGAGUUAAACUGUAUGUAAGAGGAAAUCGCACUUAAAUUUCAUUAAUAACAGUAAACUUGACAAGGAUUACCACAAUCAUACGACUACGGACUAUUACACAACAAGAACACAAGGGAAACAAAAGAACUUAAAAACAAAAGUUGACUAACAAACAACCACCCACAUCAGACAACAGAAAGCUAAUUGCCAAGUUAGUUAAUCACCAUAAGUGAUAAUGCUGUCCAUAAUCUUGGCCACCACCUCCUUCGAAUCCCUCAGUUUUUUUAUGCUUUUGUUAAGCUUCUCACGCUUUACUGCCACUGCCGGGGACUCCUCCAACAUCCUCUCAAUUCCCCCACCGUAAGGUCCCAUCAACUCAUUCACAAUCUCAGGCUCCAUCUCUUUGUUCACAAGGUUGAAAACAGACAGCUGCAAGUGCAAUGCCAUGGAGUCCACAAGCCUCCUCAAAACAACCUUCCAAUAAGCAAUCAUUCUCAUUUUAAGGUCAUAAGCUUGAGCUAACACAUGCGGGUACAUCCUCAGAACACCGACUUCCACUUCCCCGAUGCCUUCUAUAGUUAUGAUAGAAGGUUUAUACUCGUCAGUUAAGACUUCAUGAAUGAAUUGAUUUUGACUAGCCAUCAACUUCUUCCAUUCGGAAACAUAAUCAUCAUCACAUGUAUAAUCCGUUAGCUUUUCCAUCUCUACAAGCUCCAGCAUCCACUUGAUUGACCUUUCCUUCAUCUUGGCCAUUAGAUUAUGGCCGGCACGCCUGGCUGACAGCUGCAACUGAUGAUAGUUCUCCGUAUAAUGCAUCAACACAGAAAUAACCACCUCUUCAAUGUAGCUCCACACUUUUUCCUCAAAUGCUAUCGGAAUACUCGAAAUUUCAUUCACUUUUCCUUGCAAGAUAAUGAGGAAAGCAUUGCGUGGAAGGAAGUUCGGAAGUGAAAUACCUUUGGCCUCCUCCAAGAUCUUGAUCCCCUCCAUCAAGAAGUUGCUCUUUGCACCAGUUUCAGCACAUAUGUGAAGUUCAUCCGAGUACUGUUUGAGCAUCUCAACCAAUCUAGCAGUGCAGUGCAUGCGAUUGUCGUCCGCAUAGUCCUCAAAUUCUCCUCUCAAAAAAAUCUUCCUAAGCGAUUCCUUAGCCAAGCCAAUGAUUUGCAUAAAGGCUGUCAUUGCCUCGGCAACAGAUGAAAGACUCUUUGGCAUUUUGUUCAGCUCCAUAAUGCAGAAGUUCAGCCUGUCAUUGAUCUUCUUCACUAUAUCGGGUAUAUUUCUUGCUAUGCUGUUUGCUUGAAUUUGGACCAGCUUCUGUGCUAAAACUGGAAUACCGACAAUGGACUUGUCAAUCUUCGAAAGCAGGGGAUGGGUUUGAAAUAGUUCAUGAGCCAUCGCCGCUGCCUCCUCAUAAGUUUCGUCACCAAUCCUGUUCCUUACACAGACAUAACCAAGACCAAUGUUUACAUCAUCUCCAGUGACCUUCUCAAGUAGUCCUUCCGGUGCCUUGUCCACUUUCGUAACCACAGCGAGCGUCCUCUCACCAGUUUUAUCUACACUUUGUGACAUCCGAAUUGACUCACACGUAGUAAAAUCCACCGUAGCAGACAACACAUUCAGAAUAAUACUUUCUUCCGGCUUAAUAUACUCCAUGAUCAUAUCUUUGAUCUGAUCAUAAAUAUUUUCAGGUUGGCCAUGGACCGGAACCCUUGUGAUUCCCGGAAGAUCAACCAUAGUCAGAUCCGGAACCCCAUUCUUCUUCACCAACAAAGUAAGUGGCGUGUUCGAAAUUCCCUUACCUCCUCCCGCAAUAGAAAUAGUAGCUUUCACAAUGUCUUUGGCGAUAUUGUCUUCAUCAGUACGAUCAACUCUGCCAUUGUACUCCAGGGAAAGUUCAGGCUGAGGACUCGAGUGGUGUUCCAGCCUCAUAAUAAGAGGCACUCUCGUGCAGAUGCCUUGGCCCCGAGGGAGGCUGAUGCCGGCCAAGGAUUCGAGCACGCUGGACUUCCCCGAUGACUGGUCUCCGACCACCACAAUCGUUGGCAGCUGAAUGCCUUCAUCCAUCACCAUCAAGCUGCGUAACUUGUCUACCGCAUCCAGAAGAGGGCGGAUCUUGUCGUUGUAGGAUGACACAAUGGGUGCGCAUUUGAGAGGUACUGCGUCUAGUUCUGCCUGAACCAUGGCGAGGGAGCCUUCACCGUUUAAAUCUGUGCAACUCGAUUCCAUUUGCCUUGGUCCUUCCGUUUCUGAAUUAUAGCAAGUGAAAAUAAUGGUGAAAAUUCUAGAGAGAAACCGAGAUAAUUUCAAGCUUAAUUAGCUAAAGAAUUGAGGUUCUCUGGCAGUUUACCCUCCAGUUUAUAACAUUUUUUUACUAAGAAUGUUUUCAGGUAAGGGAAAACACCACUUUCGUGAUCCAGUAGGAAACGGAGCCUUUCUUUCAACCGCUGCAUUUCCACAAACUCAAGAGACUCUAAUACCCGAAAAGGCAAGUUACGCUCUCCUUAAAACUCAGCACCAAUUCGAAGAUGGAGUAAAAUGUUCUGUAUUGAGUUUGUGACUUAGUGGAGUAAAAUGUCCUAUUUAUAGUGAUGCAGUACAAGACUCUCAUGCAUGUAUUGGAAUCUACCAAGAGUUGGAACCAUCAAAUAUAUUUAAUGGAGUUUUAGAGCAACACAACUAAUUAAGUAGUCAUUUAAGACCAUUUUAAAUAUUUUGGGUAGAGCAAAAGUCCAAUUCGGACUAGAGUUUCAUUGUGUUGUAUUCCUUAUAAAUAUAUGUACUAAUUGUAUUCCUUAAAUGACUACUUAAUUAGUUGUGUUGCUCUAAAACUCCAUUAAAUAUAUUUGAUGGUUCCAACUCUUGGUAGAUUCCAAUACAUGCAUGAGAGUCUUGAUUACUACAUCAUUUAGCUACUGCUAUGUGUCAUUCUUAGCCUUCAAGCAGCUUAACUGACUCUCAGUCAACAAUAACAACACAUCCAACAGCUUAAGGAUUGCUGUUUUUAGUGGAGAAAUGUGGAAGAGAAAGAGCCUUUGAAGAUUCCUUUAUGAGUUUGCACAUUGUGGGAGAUUUUGUUUCACUUUUACCAUUGUCAGGCCAUAAUCAUGGAUGUUGACAUGGUUGGACAGAUGUCGAAUGAUGGUGUCAUUGGGCCCCCACCAUCAAAGAAAAAGCAGUCCCCAUGGGGCAUCUAAGCGGAAAGAGAAUCCAUUAUAGUAUAAAGAUUUAGCAUUCACACUCAUAGCUUCGACAUCAAUCAUUUUCUUCCUUGCCGAUGUUCUUUAUAUUUUGCUUUCUUUAUUUCUUGAUAAGUUGUUUCUGGAUGAUAUUUUUUUAGAAUCUCUUGGAUGUCGUAUGCGUGCUACGUCACUCGUUUGUAUCAAAACACGCAUAAACAUUAUUUCUUUCAAUCGAGAUUUAAAAUUAAAAGUCUACAUACACUUUUUUGUUGUAAUUUGACUGAUGGACCAUAAUGUUGGAUUGUGAACUACCUUAGUACAUAUGUGUAGAAGUGUGGCAGGUGACGUAAGCAUAAAUAAUCAUUUUAACAUGCAUGUUAGCAAAAUGUUAAAUUGUGUUUAAUCAUAUUAAAUUAAUUUAUGUAUUGGUUUUGUUCAGGUAUAAUAAAAUUAAAAACACAUGUAUAAACUUAGUGUAAGUUUUAGGAUUCUCACCUUUAGAUUUCAUAGGUGGACAAAUUCAAUGUUGUUAAAGAUCCCAAGUGUUAGCCCUCAACUAGUGUCUACACGAAUAAAUAUCUGGCUAGUGAAGCAAAAAAACGACAAUUUGCUAGAACUUUAUCCAUCAGGUAGGUGUUGCCAUAAAGGGAUUUGGUAUGGUGUUUUGUUUUUCAAUUCUCUAAAUUGGAAAACCUAUUUCUUUUCUCUCUAAUAUCUAUUUGCGAUUAUUGAAUUCUCACACUAUGUUACAUAGACCCCUUAGGCUUAUAAAAAGAACAAUCUGUAAUUAAGCCAAUUGUGUGUUGCACGCCCUAGGGAAAUUUUUUAGAAACUUUUGGGUUCACUAGUCUGUAUCACGUCACUCGCUUGUCUCAAGAAGAGAUCCUUUCACAUCACCAGUUUACCACACUAAAAUUUUGAAUUUAUUAGAUGGAUAAUACAAUUUGUUUAAUAAAUGACCAACUUUACAAAUAUUUUUGUGAAGUGAUUUCACACAUAUUUUUUAGCUUUUACACACCCAUGUUUAAUUUUAGAUGUUGAUUCCGUUUGAUUUAUUUAAUCUGGUGGCCAUAAAUAAAGAGAGGUACGUGGAAAACUAAAAAUGGUGUGUGAAAAUCCUUGACACUACUAAGCAUGAAUUUUAGUAAGAUGAAAAAAGACCUUCGCUUGAUACCCGUGGGAGGACGUGACAUGACUUCCUUUAUUGAAGGAUGAGGAAUGCUAAUGUGACUUUCAAAAGUAGGACUUUCUAAUGACUCUCUGCCACCUCAUAGCUAGUUUAAUGUCAAUUCAUUCACGUGCCAACAUUAUAACACAAAUGCUAGGAAGGCUACAUUUAUAGACAAAAUUUGUAUACUAAAUGACAUGAAAGUUGAUGAUUAUAUUAUUAUUUAAGCGUUGAUAAACGUGCUCAUUUUCUAUUGGUAACAAGUCAUUUAGUUUUCAAAUUUUGUCUACAAAUUUAGUCUCCAUAGCAUUACCUGCAUUAUAAAGUAUUGUGCCAAAUAUAUGAGCUGACAAAGAGUCCAUAGAGAGUCUCAAUUUUGAGUCUCAUUAGCAUUUAUCUUCAAGAAUUUAUCCACAUUCUCCUCACGUAAUAAUUUCACCAAAAAUGUUUUCUAAAUGCUCACUUAUCAAGAUUAAACCCCCGUUUGGUAUUUUAUUUUUUGGGUAAAAGACUGUUUACUACCCUCAUGUUUCGUGGUUUUCAACAUUUAGUACAUCAUGUUUUUUUCGUCUCAGAGUCAUACCUAAAGUGUAAAUUUUGGGACAGUCUCAUACAUCCGUUAGUCAAACUGUUAAGUUUUUCGUUAACUGUGACGUGGCGCACUGACUGGGCGCCACGUGUCAUCCACGUUUUUUUUUUUUCUUUUUCUUUUUUCUUUCUUUUCUUUUCUUCUUCUUCCUUCUUCUUCUUCUUCCUCCGACUGCAACUUUUUUUUUUUUUUUUGCUUCUUCCUUUUCCUUCUUCCUUCCUUCCUCCUUCCUUUCCCUUUCUUCCCCUUCUUCCUUCUUCUUCCUUCUUCUUCCUCCGAAAUCUGGGGAAUGUUUUUUUUUUUCUUUCUUCUUCUUCCUCCUUCCUUCCCCUUCUUCCUUCUUCUUCUUUCUCCUUCUUCUUCUUCUUCUUCUUCCUCCGAAAUCUGGGGAAGUUUGUUUUUUUUUUUCUUUCUUUCUUCUUCUUCCUCCUUCUUCUUCUUCUUCUUCUUCCUCAAAAAAAAAAAAAAAAAAACACUUUUAUCUUUUCUUCCUCUUCUUCUUCUUCUUCUUCUUCUUUCUCUUUCCUCCUUCCUUCUUCUCCUUCUUCUUCUUCUUCUUCUUCUUCCUCCGAAUCUGCCCAGAUUCAAUUUUUUUUUUCUUCCUCCUUCUUCUCCUUCUUCUUCUUCUUCCUCCGAAUUUGGGGGAAGAUGAAAGUGUUUUUUUUUUUUUGAGGAAGAAGAAGAAGAAGAAGAAGAAAGAAAGAAAAAAAAAAAAAACAUUCCCCAGAUUUCGGAGGAAGAAGAAGGAAGAAGAAGGAAGAAGGGGAAGAAAGGGAAAGGAAGGAGGAAGGAAGGAAGAAGCAAAAGGAAGAAGCAAAAAAAAAAAAAAAAAAACAAAAACAGAAAGUUGCAGUCGGAGGAAGAAGAAGAAGAAGGAAGAAGAAGAAAAGAAAAGAAAAAAAAAAGAAAAAAAAAAACGUGGAUGACACGUGGCGCCCAAUCAGUGCGCCACGUCACAGUUAACGAAAAACUUAACAGUUUGACUAACGGAUGUAUGAGACUGUCCCAAAAUUUACACUUUAGGUAUGACUCUGAGACGAAAAAAACUUGAUGUACUAAAUGUUGAAAACCACGAAACAUUAGAGUAGUAAACAGUCUUUUACCCUUAUUUUUUUCAACAAAAGUUGCUUCACUUUAAAGUUAAGCAGUAAGAAUGUGUUUGGUAAAAAUAAAUUAUUUUGCUUAUAUUAAAAGUAAUGCAUGUCCUCCAGACAGCAACUUUUAAAAGCAGCAUGUAGGUAAAGCUGUUUUUAAUAAAAAGCAGAAUUGAGCUUUCAAUGAAUAUUUUUAAUUCCUGUAAUAUGCUCAAUAAUUUUAGAAAAUAACAUUAUUUAUUCUUGUAGGCACAUUUUAUCAUUGGAGAACAAAGUGACCACCACUAUAAACCCUAACCUCUUACACUACCAUUGCCAUGAUCACCACCAUUGUUGCCACCACCACCACACUACAAUUGCGCCACCACCACUACAACCAUACACACCACCGCUACCUUUGCCAUCAUUACCACCACACCGCCGCCGCCGCCGCCACCACCACCAUAAACACAACUGCCACCAUCAAUGUUGUUGCCACCCCUACGACCAAUGUUGCCUCUGCAGCCCAACCACCACCACCAUCCCAACCCUUACCCUUAUCACUGUUGUCGUCGUCACCACCAACAUUGUUACGUCUAUUUUUGUCAUUAUAUACAAUUAUAAAUUAUCAAACGCUUUUACGCCGUUUUUCAUACUCAACACUUUUAAAAAUACAAUUCAUCUAACACUCAACUGCUUUAUUUUGUAGCAGAUUAUUCUUAAAGCACAUCAGAAGCACUUUUUUUUAAAGCACAUCAAUCUCAAAAUGGCCGUAAGAUUAUGAGUUUUUCAAUUGAGAUAAAUAUAUAAUUUAUUUGACCAAAACGAUUUUAAAUUAUUUGUAAUAAGAUCACGCGAAAGAAGAACAUAAACGUUACACAUGAAAUUAAACCAAAGCAAAUGAUUUUCUUGGGUUUUAACACCCAUAUAUUUUUUGUUGGUUUAUCAUUUUCACCGAGCUCCACCUCAUUUAUACUUAAAGAAAUGUAUUAUGUUCCGAUCCAGAAACCAAGCUCCACCUCAUCAAUACUUGGAUAAUUUGAUGCAUUACUUUUGUUUCCUUUCUCAAUUUGGAGGCCCAAACAAGAAACAAAGCUACACUAGACAAAGACAACUGCUGUAUAGUGGGUGUUUUAGAAACUUAAAGGAAAGAAACUCAAAAGCUUCAAUUUGUUUGUCGUGCUCCUUUAACUUCCUCUUUUACUGUUAUACAAGCGAAAACAAGAGAGAUUUAAUGAGUAAAGGGAUACUUUACGCCUUGAUAUACAAGUUUAUUGUCAUGAUCUAGCAAGGUUUCUUCUAAGGAUCUUGGCUUUCUUUGUCUAUAAAGAAGUUGGGUUUUUGGUUGUUUAAUUAAUUUCUACUAGAAUUGCAAGAUAAAAAGGGAUACAAACACUACAAGAAAGCCGGGCUUAUGUGACGACAGAUAUUCGUCAUAGAAAAUAAAAAUGCGUCACAUUUGAUAAUAUGUGACGCCUUUACAGCGUCACUGCGAACGUCACCUAUGAUGCGUCACGGAAAGUAUAAGUGACUAAUUUUAAAAGCGCCACAUAUUUGUAGUAUAUGUGACACUGUUUUCGUCAAUUAAUAGGAGAUUGUGACGGAUUAGGCGUCACAAAAGAAUAAAUUAUGUGACCUAUAUAAUUCGUAAUGUAUGAAAUAGAUAAGUGACACUGAAGGCGUCACAUUUUUCUUCCAUUUGUGGCAUAGCUUGGGUCACUUAUGUCAAAAUAAAAUAUCUAUUUUGAAAAUAUAUGUGACAAACCAAUACAAUUCCCUAUUUAUAAUAUGAUGUUACAAUUCCUUGUUUAUAAAAAAGAAUCAAUUAUGUGACCUAUAUAAUUCGUCACUUAUGAAAUAGAUAACUAACACUGAAAGCGUCACAUUUUUCUUCCAUUUAUGGCACAGCCUGGAUCACUUAUGUCAAAAUAAAAUAUCUAUUUUGGAAAUAUAUGUGACAAACCAAUACAUAUUCCCUGUUUAUAAUCUGAUAUUACAAUUCAUUGUUUAUAAAAAAGAAUAAAUUACAUGACCUAUAUAAUUUGUCACUUAUGAAAUAGAUAAGUGACGCUGAAAGUGUCACAUUUUUCUUCCAUUUGUGGCGUAGCCUGGGUCAUUUAUGUCAAAAUAAAAUACCUAUUUUGGAAAUAUAUGUGAUAGACCAAUACAUAUUCCCUGUUUAUAAAGGAUCAAGGGACAAACAUUUUGACAAACAUAUAUAUAUAUAUAUAUAUAAUAUAUAUAUGUUUUUUUUUUUAAGAUGAUAACAUUUCCUGAAUAAAACUGAGAAGAUAUAUAAACCGGCAAGCAAGUUUAUUUAUCUUAAGAAAGUAACAGUAUUUCCAUAUUCACUUUCAGGUUAUUACAACUUUGACGUCGAAAAAAUAAGAACAUUUAGGGAAGAUGUUUUUCUCAUAAGUUAGGGUUUCUUCAAUGUUUGUCGGUUUCUUUACCUAAGUAAGUUUUUAUCUGUCAAAUUAGUUACGAAGGCUUACUGUCAAAUUGAAUGAAAGGUAAUGAAAGCAGAAAAUAGAAAACAAAAUAUCGGAGUUGACUAUUGGUAGGAUGAAUUUGAGUUAAAUUUCUUUGAAAACUUUAAAAUUGACAAGGAUUACCAAAACUAUACAAUUACCACAUAACAAGAACACAAAGGAAACUACGAGCUUGUUUGGUAUCCUAUUUGAAAAUUAUUGUCAUUUCUCAAAACAUUUCUUGAAAACAAUUUUCUUUAAGACUAAAAAACUUGACUGGUUUGCGAUUUACAAUUUUUAAAUCUUACAACUAAAAUUAGGCAAAGAGAUCUAAAAAGAGGGGAUCGUAGGAGAGGGAGAAAGAGGAGAGAAGAGGAAAGAAAGCAAGAGAUGAUUGAAGAAAAGAGAAAGAAGAGAGAGAAUCGAACAAAAGAGAGAGGAAGAGGAGUGAGAGAAAGAACAUAGAGAAUGAAAAGAGCAGAUUGAAAGAGAGACGAAACAUGUAAAAAAAUAAAAAUAAAGAGGAGAGAGAGAGAGAAGAAAAGAGAGAGAUUUGGAGUGAGAGGGGAGAAGGGAGAGAAGAAAAAAAAGUGUGAGUUUAAGUUUAAAAACUCUAAAAACUCACUUUUUAUGUUUUUAGAUAAUAGACUAUAUUUUUGAGUUAGUCUUGAGUUUAGUUUUUUAAGUAGUCUUACCAAAGACUAAAACUUGAAAAUUGUUUUUGAGUUUAAAAAAUUGGAUUCAAGGAAAGUAUCAAACAGACGCUAAAAAACUUGAAACAAAAGUUUACAAACAAACAACCAACGACAUAAGGAAAACAGACUGCAUACUUUUAUUUACACCAUUUUGUAGUACCCUCAAAACUAAUUGGCAAGUUAUUUAAUUACCAUAAGUGAUAAUGCUGUCCAUAAUCUUGGCCACUACCUCCUUAGAAUCCCUAAGCUUUUUUAUGCUUUUGUUAAGCUUCUCACGCUUUACUGCCAUUGCCGGCGACUCCUCCAACAUCCUCUCGAUUCCCCCAUCGUAAUGUCCCAUCAACUCAUUCAUAAUCUCAGCUUCCAUCUCUUUGUUCACAAGGUUAAAAACAGACAGCUGCAAGUGCAAUGCCAUGAAGUCCACAAACCUCCUCAAAACAACCUUCCAAUAGGCAGUCAUUCUCAUUUUAAGGUCAUAAGCUUGAGCUAAAACAUGCGGUUACUUCCUCAGAACACCGACUUCAACUUCCCCGAUGCCUUCUAUAGCUAUGAUAGAAGGUUUAUUCUCGUCAGUUAAGACUCCAUGAAUGAAAACAUUUUGACUAGCCAUCAACUUGUUCCAUUCGGAAAC
rnacentral:lncRNA from 1 species